UCGAGGAUCAUUCGCAAUGGGCGAAAGCCUGACGAUGCGACGCUGCGUGGAGGAUGAAGGCCCUCGGGUCGUAAACUCCUGUCAUGGGGGAAGAGGAGAGCGCCGCCAACACCGGCGCGAUUUGACGGUACCCCAAGAGGAAGCCACGGCUAACUCUGUGCCAGCAGCCGCGGUAAUACAGAGGUGGCGAGCGUUGUUCGGAUUUACUGGGCGUAAAGGGCGCGUAGGCGGCCGCGCGUGUCGGGUGUGAAAUCCCAGGGCUCAACCCUGGAAGUGCGCCCGAAACUGCGGGGCUGGAGUGCGGGAGGGGAGAGCGGAAUGCAGGGUGUAGCGGUGAAAUGCGUUGAUAUCCUGCAGAACACCGGUGGCGAAGGCGGAUCUCUGGAACGCAACUGACGCUGAGGCGCGAAAGCCGGGGGAGCAAACA
rnacentral:rRNA from 1 species